UAUACACACACACACACACACACACACACACACACACACACACACACACACACGUGCGCUUUGAGAAGUCUGUCUGCCUAGACACUGACGGAGAUGGGUAUCAGCAGGACACACACACACACACACACACACAGACACACACACACACGUGCGCUUUGAGACACUGACGGAGAUGGCUGUCAGCAGGACGCCUGGCUGGGAAAGGCUCCUUAUGUUGAGCUCCUUAUGUUGAGCUCCUGUGUUAACCAGCCUGAUGAGGAACACUGACAGUCUUCCUAGUCUGCCUAUCCCUAUGUCAGUCUUCCUAUCCCUAUGCCAGUCUUCCUAUCCCUAUGCCAGUCUUCCUAGUCUUCCUAUCCCUAUGCCAGUCUUCCUAGUCUUCCUAUCCCUAUGCCAGUCUUCCUAGUCUUCCUAUCCCUAUGCCAGUCUUCCUAUCCCUAUGCCAGUCUUCCUAUCCCUAUGCCAGUCUUCCUAUCUCUAUCCCAGUCUUCCUAUCCCUAUGCCAGUCUUCCUAUCCCUAUGCCAGUCUUCCUAGUCUGCCUAUCCCUAUGCUUAUCCUAAACAACACUAACACUAUCAUCUUCUAAACACACUAUCAUCUUUAAAUGGUUUAAACUCCUUGGGUGAUCUUAAGGCAUGAAGAGUUAACGCUUAUUCCAGUAUGAUAUGUGCCAGACGCCACGGCAACAUGUGAGCGCGGGCCCUAGAUACACUGAAUUCAGGGCAUGAUGCCUAGUGUCAUUCUGGCAACGGGAAAAGUCUGCCGUGCACAAACUAAAGCUUAUUUAAUAACUUAUUAUUAUUAUUAUUAAUUAUUUAAGAUCCUA
rnacentral:lncRNA from 1 species